rnacentral:rRNA from 1 species
AGAUUGAACGCUGGCGGCAGGCCUAACACAUGCAAGUCGAGCGGUAGAGAGGUGCUUGCACCUCUUGAGAGCGGCGGACGGGUGAGUAAUGCCUAGGAAUCUGCCUAGUGGUGGGGGAUAACGUUCGGAAACGGACGCUAAUA